GCAGCGCCACCCCUUCCUCUCCACCUACUUCUGCCACAUCUGGGGAAAUAACAGGACGCCUUCCUUUCCGAAAUGAGGAAACAUUAUGGGGAGCCCGGGGCAUUUCCGGGGUUGGGGGUCAGAAGGACACUCACCCGCAUGGCCUGGCCUGGAGCAGCCCAGAGCAAGGAUUCUCCUCUCUAUGCUGCUCCCGUUAGCAGCUCAAAAUAGCACAGGCUGCAGCCCCGCCCCUGGUCCCCUCCCUCUCCCAGGCCCCUCCCGCUGCAGCUGCCCAACCCUGCCAGAGCUGUGGAGACAGCAGAGGCUGGAGGACUGCGGGUACCAGGGAGAGAGGGACUGGAAAAAACCCAAGCCUGUCACCCACAGCCGGUUCUAAGCACCAGUGGUCCUGCAAAGAUGGCAUCCUCUAAGAACAGACUGGACAAUCAUGGAAAACCAGCAUAAGGGUCAGCCACACUGAUUAAUAAAACCCAAAGGAGGUCUUCCAGGGUGUGAGGGCUGGACUGUGGGACUCCUCAAAGUCAGAGAGGCCCCUCCAGACACCCUCAGGUUCCCCCAAUGGGGGGGGACAAAGAGCCACUGUUUGAAGAUUUGUGUGUUCACUUCUGGAAGCCCUUACUGGGCCUGUUUCUAGAACCCUUUGAAGUAACAACAAAGCCAAGCCCAGUCCCCACAGAAGCAGGAAGAAGGCUUUCUGCUUUGCCUACCUGGCCUCCACCCCGCCCCCCCCCCGCCCCCACGUGCGAAGCCCGCCAAACCCACUGGGGCAUGCGAGCACCUGCGCUGUUGCCAGGCUGGGCAGAGCCGUGCUUGGCGUGGUGAGGGAGCGCUGCCCCAGUUGUGGUGGCACAUUACCAGGGGCCUGCUGUCCCCAGGGCAUGGGAUUCCAGAGUUGGUGAAGUGGAGGAAUGGCCAGAGAGAACACACCUUCCUUCCGGAAAGAAAGGGGAAAUGCCACCAGGCCCAGCCUGGCGGGAGGGGGCGGCGAGCUCUCCGCAGAAGGAGAUAAGACUGACUGUCUCCCUGCCCCCACCCCUCACUUCUGGGUGCCCUGUGGACCUGCACUGCUCAAUGCAGGAGCCACUGGCCAUGGGUGGCCAUUCAAUUUUAAGUUAAAUAAAAACAUUGGGGCUGUUUCUCAUUAAAUGAAAAUUAA